GCAUGUAUCUGUGUUCCCUUGGGAAGGGUUUAUGAAGGCAUCUGUAUGUACAAAGGUCUGAAAAAGAAAAAGUAUAAGGACUAUUGAGGAAUAGAACAGUCCCUUAAAGGAAAAAGCCACCUAAUGAGAAGGAAGGACUGACUGGAGAAGAGCCUAAUGUUGGGAAAGAUUGAGGGCAAAAACAGGAUGACAGAGAACAAAGUUGUUGGAUGGAGUCACUGAAGCAGUAGGCAUGAUCUUAAAUGGACUCCAGAGGAUGGUAGAGGAUUGGAAGGCCUGGAGGAACUUUGUCCAUGGGGUCGCGAUGGGUCGGACACGACGUCACAACUAACAACAACAACAACAACAACAACAACAAAGGAAAAAGCAAGCAUUGGUAUACUGAUUUACUUAGAACCAGCAGAUAUGAAAGGCAAGAAACCAGAGAAAGACCAAUUAUGGCCUGUAGUGGCCAUAAACUGGAGUGAACACCAACCCAGCCCUGUUGUUAAACCAAGCUGCAAUUUCGGAAGCCGGCUUCCAGAAGAGCCCGGAGCAGAAUGGGAAAUGAGCAGCUCAGAACUUCAAGAUGAUUGACAGGAAAACUGUUCGUGGGUCAACUUCAUCGUGCUUUUGAGGAGAAAACGCACAUUUGUAGGAAUCCUAUUUUUGAGAACUUUAGACUGACCACUUGGAAUGUAUAUACUUGGCGACUAUGCUUGUUCUUAAGGCUCAAGAAAGAGGCCAGAAAUUCCAAAGCAGGAGCAUCACUGCAUUGCCUGUGGAGCAACUGGGUACCGUUUCCUGCCAGGCACGAGCUGCGUUAAUUUUGGGGGUGGAGUUAUUACCCCUUUCCUCCAUAUCAUUUGCUCUGUUCUUCUCAUCGACUUGCAAACCUUUGACCCCUGCCUACAAAGAUGAAUCAGGCUUGGUGCUGAAGGCAUUGUAGAUUGGAUUCCCUCUUGCAAAGAUGCAUGUGAGAUGGCGAUGGCCAAAAAAAGUCAAGAGCUGAUUCCAAGGAAGCAAACACCAUCUUUCAACGUUGCUUCAUUCUGAUAAUGGGUUGGAUGGAGGAGUCCUAAGAAGGAAUGAAAUUUGGACAAAACAGAGGUAUAGCAAAGAAUAUAUUGGACUUGAAGUCUGUCAAUGUGAUGGGAUUGUAUUCCCCCAGAAAAAGCAGCUUUGCAGUUUGCAGAUGCUCACUGAUCCCCAAUUCAUCUGGAUUUGUAGUUGGCAGUUGUGAUGAGAAACAUGUUCACACAGUCACAGCUACUGUGCCAUCUGUGACCCUUCUUCAGCCAGAUGGACCUAAUAAAAUUUAUAGAUACAUUAAGAGCCUGGUGGCGCAGCAGACUGAUAGCCUGUUAUUAACAUUCAGCUGUCUGCAAUUACUGUAAGUUCGAAUCUCACCAGGCUCAAGGUGGACUCAGCCUUCCAUCCUUUCUAAGGUAGGUUAAAAGAGGACCCAGUUUGUGGGGGCAAUAAGCUGACUUUGUAUAAAUAUACAAAAGUAUGAAGGCUAUUGCUUAACGCAUUGUAAGCCGCCCUGAGUCUCCGGAGAAGGGCGGCAUAUAAAUCAAAUUAAAAAAAAAAAACAC